GAUGAACGCUAGCGGCAGGCUUAACACAUGCAAGUCGAGGGGUAGAAGUUGCUUGCAACUUUGAGACCGGCGCACGGGUGCGUAACGCGUAUGCAAUCUACCUUAUACAGAGGGAUAGCCCAGCGAAAUUUGGAUUAAUACAUCAUAGUAUAAUUGAAUGGCACCAUUUAAUUAUUAAAGUUCCAACGGUAUAAGAUGAGCAUGCGUCCUAUUAGUUAGAUGGUAAGGUAACGGCUUACCAUGGCAACGAUAGGUAGGGGUCAUGAGAGGGAGAUCCACCACACUGGUACUGAGGCACGGACCAGACUCCUACGGGAGGCAGCAGUGAGGAAUAUUGGACAAUGGGCGCAAGCCUGAUCCAGCCAUGCCGCGUGCAGGAAGAAGCAUCUAUGGUGUGUAAACUGCUUUUGUACGGGAAGAAACACCCCUUCGUGAAGGGACUUGACGGUACCGUAAGAAUAAGGAUCGGCUAACUCCGUGCCAGCCGCCGCCGUAACAC
rnacentral:rRNA from 1 species